AGAGUUUGAUCCUGGCUCAGGACGAACGCUAGCGGCGCGCCUAAGGUAUGCAAGUCGAACGGGGGGAGCAAUCCCCUAGUGGCGAACGGUCGAGUAACACGUAGACAACCUCCCGGCGAGUGGGGGAUAACAGUGGGAAACUGCUGCUAAUACCGCAUGUGGCCAGUAAGGGCUUCCUUGCUGUGCUAAAGGAGCAAUUC
rnacentral:rRNA from 1 species